rfam:Trichuris muris Edinburgh genomic scaffold, scaffold80
AGAGAAGCCGGGCAAACGUAUCCGUACCUUCGGAACAAGGAUUGGCUCUAAGGGCUGAACCGGUCGGGCUGAUGCUUCGAAGCGUGUCUGUUGCGGUGGGCACCGGUGAUUAGGAUGUGGUUCGCCGCUGCGCGGUCCUACUGAAGCCGCAAACGGUAACAAAACACGCAGACAGACGACCAAACUGUGUGUGCUUGUCGGUAACUGACAAUCCACUUCGACCGGCAUUGAACAGCCGACUUAGAACUGGCACGGACCUGAGGAAUUAGACUGCAUAAUUAAAAGAAAACAUUGAGACGGUGCAUCGUGGCCGCUGCUUGUGACUGAGAGAAGGCUGCAUAGGCGGACAUACUGACAAACUAUCCC